CUCCCAUUUUGAGUGCUGGUUAGUCAAUGAUGGGUAAGAUCCCCUGGGGGACAACCUAAGACAGGCACAGCCACGUACAGAGACCACAUGGAAACAGGGACAAGAAUGGUAUGGCCAAGAAUCAUGCCUCCCGUUGCUCAAAAACAAACGAAAAGGGGGAAAUGUGGUGGAAUGAGAAGGCUCUGCCAAGAUGGCCGCUGGCAACAGAAACUGCCUGGCAACAGGCCGUGGUUGGAUGGCUUUGGAAACCACAUGACAAUGGAGCCUGCCUGGCAACAGGCUGUGAUUGGAUGGCUUCAGAAACUGCCUGGCAACAGGGUGUGAUUGGUUAAGGCAUAGACCGCCCCUAGACCAGAUUGGCUGCCUUGGCUAUAUAAGCUGCUGUAGCAACUGAAAUAAACACUCCUGCAGGCUGCUCGCCUCAGGCCUGCUUUCACCUGACUCCCGUGGUUUGUGUGGUGACUCCGUGCCUCUUGCCCCCACCACGCUCCUCCUCUCAGAACAAAUCAACCUCAACAUCAGCCAAAGAGAAAGCUGCAUUUCUUUCUCACUAGCAGGACACUGCAACGUACAAACUGUUCAUCUUUGAAGACCCCAUUGCUCUUGUUAGUGCACUAUCAGGAAACUGGAUUGGAAGUGGAGCAUCUGGGGCUCGAACUUGCACUCUGAUACAGGAUGUGGUGUAGCCAACCCCUCAUUUCCUUAUUACUUUUGCUCUCUACCAUGGCUGGGAAAGCAGUAGAAGAUGGCCCAAGUUCAUGGACCCCUGCACCCAUGUGGGAGACCUAAAGGAAGCUCUUGGCUCCUAGCUUCAAAUCAAUGCAGCUCUGGCCUUUGCGGCCAUUUGGGGAGUAAACCAGCAAAUGGAAGAUAUCUCUCUCUCUCUCUCUCUCUCUCUCUCCUUCUGCCUCUCUGUAACUCUGCCUUUCAAAUAAAUAAAUAAAUCUAAAAAAAAAUUGCUGUGUUUACUAUGCUUUUUUUCACUCACAUUUAUCUCAAUCCAGAAAACAUAGUUCUAAUAUCAUUGGUUUCAUUUUGCUGCCAUCUAUAUCAACUUGGAUUAUGUUACACCAAUAUAAGUGUUGCUUUUAUAGCAUGAGUUCUGCCAGCCAGCUGUGACUGCUCACCCACCAAAAUAGCCUCCAGUACCCACAUGAGCCCGCC